UACGAGGGCGCAAGUGUUGUUCGGAAUCACUGGGCGUAAAGGGAGCGUAGGCGGGCUUUUAAGUUAGGUGUUUAAUCCCGGGGCCCAACCCCGGACCGGCACCUAAAACUGGGAGUCUUGAAUAGUGGAGAGGUCAGUGGAAUUGGGGGUGUAGCGGUGGAAUGCGUAGAGAUCCCCAAGAACACCAGUUGCGAAGGCGGCUGACUGGACACAUAUUGACGCUGAGGCUCGAAAGCAUGGGGAGCAAACAGG
rnacentral:rRNA from 1 species